CAUGAUACAGUCAGUAGGAAGCCAAUUGCCAACGCAGGUCUAGAAACAUCCGCAGAGCAUUUCUCCAACUUAAGGCGAUGUAUGCACAUUCAUCAAAGCACCAAAAUUUACACAUUUAUAAUUAUAACGUCAAUAUAUAUUUAUCCAUUGUUUAUAAUGGACAAAUCAUCAUCAUCUCAUCACGAUGCUACACAGUAAGGUCAUAACUGACCCUAAAUGACAAAAAACGUCUGAAAUAUGCAAGGAUGAAAUCAAUCAACACAUACGUUCCAUAUAUGUAUAUGUGUAAUUACUGAAGAUCAUCUUAUCAAGACUAAUCAGCAAAUUAUAGUGUGAUGACAACAACCAGAUGGUAAAUCGCCAGAAGUCUAAUAAAUCUCAGGAGCAUUAUACAAGCCAUGAGUGAUCAUGAUUUCCAAGAGGUCCAUAUCCACAACGUAUUUCACCGACUUAAGAUAAUAUAUGCAUAUAUAUCAAAACACCAGUAUGCACAUAUUAAUUAUUUUCAUAACUCAAAUUCUGAAGAGAACGUGUUAUAUUGCAACAACAACCUCCUACAUAUGAGUCUUAUUUCACUUGGAAUACAGAAUUUCAU